rnacentral:rRNA from 1 species
AUUGAACGCUGGCGGCAGGCCUAACACAUGCAAGUCGAACGGUAGCACAGAGGAGCUUGCUCCUCGGGUGACGAGUGGCGGACGGGUGAGUAAUGUCUGGGAAACUGCCCGAUGGAGGGGGAUAACUACUGGAAACGGUAGCUAAUACCGCAUAAUGUCGCAAGACCAAAGAGGGGGACCUUCGGGCCUCUUGCCAUCGGAUGUGCCCAGAUGGGAUUAGCUAGUAGGUGGGGUAACGGCUCACCUAGGCGACGAUCCCUAGCUGGUCUGAGAGGAUGACCAGCCACACUGGAACUGAGACACGGUCCAGACUCCUACGGGAGGCAGCAGUGGGGAAUAUUGCACAAUGGGCGCAAGCCUGAUGCAGCCAUGCCGCGUGUAUGAAGAAGGCCUUCGGGUUGUAAAGUACUUUCAGCGAGGAGGAAGGUGUUGUGGUUAAUAACCGCAGCAAUUGACGUUACUCGCAGAAGAAGCACCGGCUAACUCCGUGCCAGCAGCCGCCGUAA